GGUUAAUCAAACACUUAUUUAGACUUACGUUAAGAGGAGUCAUCUGUUUCUGCAUAUCCGGUAUCACCAAUUCUAGUUUGUUUUGGCCGAUAGCACUUGGGGUGUAGUCGUUGUACGAAUCCAUACUCACUGUAAAAAGUGGAGUUCGGCGCUCCAACCACUGUAGCACAGAGCUGGUUAAAAGAAUCUACAUUAU